rnacentral:rRNA from 1 species
GUCGAGAAUCUUUCACAAUGGGGGCAACCCUGAUGGAGCGACGCCGCGUGGAGGAUAAGGUCUUCGGAUUGUAAACUCCUGUCAUGCGUGAACAAGGUUGCUUGGUUAAUACCUGGGCAAAUUGAUGGUAACGCAAGAGGAAGAGACGGCUAACUCUGUGCCAGCAGCCGCGGUAAUACAGAGGUCUCAAGCGUUGUUCGGAAUCACUGGGCGUAAAGGGUGCGUAGGUGGCGUGGUAAGUCAGAUGUGAAAGCCCGGGGCUCAACCUCGGAACUGCAUCCGAUACUGCCAUGCUAGAGUACUGGAGAGGUGACUAGAAUUCUCGGUGUAGCAGUGAAAUGCGUAGAUAUCGAGAGGAAUACCAAAGGCGUAGGCAGGUCACUGGACAGUUACUGACACUGAGGCACGAAGGCCAGGGGAGCGAACGGG